rnacentral:rRNA from 1 species
GAUGAACGCUGACAGAAUGCUUAACACAUGCAAGUCGAUGGGGAAGUGGUGCUUGCCCCAUGGCAACCAUGGCGGACGGGUGAGUAACGCGUAAGGGACUUACCUGCAGGACUGGGAUAACAGGGGGAAACUCCUGACAAGACCGGAUAAUGUCAUGGAGCUGCAUGGCUUUAUGAUGAAAGGAGACGCCUGCGGAGAGCCUUGCGUCCUAUUAGCUAGUUGGUGAGGUAAUGGCUCACCAAGGCGAAGAUAGGUAGCCGGCCUGAGAGGGUGGACGGCCACAAGGGGACUGAGAUACGGCCCUUACUCCUACGGGAGGCAGCAGUGGGGAAUAGUGGACAAUGGGGGCAACCCUGAUCCAGCAAUUCUGUGUGCACGAAGAAGGUUUUCGGAUUGUAAAGUGCCUUCAGCAGGGAAGAAGUAAGUGACGGUACCUGCAGAAGAAGCGACGGCUAAAUACGUG